rnacentral:rRNA from 1 species
UACAGAGGUCUCAAGCGUUGUUCGGAUUCAUUGGGCGUAAAGGGUGUGUAGGUGGCGCCGUAAGUCGGGUGUGAAAUUUCGGAGCUUAACUCCGAAACUGCAUUCGAUACUGCGGUGCUUGAGGACUGGAGAGGAGACUGGAAUUCAUGGUGUAGCAGUGAAAUGCGUAGAGACUCAUGAGGAAGACCAGUGGCGAAGGCGGGUCUCUCGGACAGUUCCUGACACUGAGACACGAAGGCCAGGGAGCAAACGGG